CGGACCGGCGCACGGGUGAGUAACGCGUAUGCAACUUACCUAUCAGGAGGGGAUAACCCGGCGAAAGUCGGACUAAUACCGCAUAAAGCAGGGAUCCCGCAUGGGAAUAUUUGCUAAAGAUUCAUCGCUGAUAGAUAGGCAUGCGUUCCAUUAGGCAGUUGGCGGGGUAACGGCCCACCAAACCGACGAUGGAUAGGGGUUCUGAGAGGAAGGUCCCCCACAUUGGUACUGAGACACGGACCAA
rnacentral:rRNA from 1 species